AACUGCCCUUCACAAAGUAAGAAGCUGGAAAUGAAGGAGGCUUUUCAGUGCUGCUGUGGCCAUCUCAGGAUAUUCCACCUCGGCUUUAACCCAGAACAUAUGGGGAUUUGAAGUUGUCUCAAACAUGCUUUCAAGGCCACUGUCAUUUGCAAUCUCAAGCCGUUAAUCCUCUUCUAGCACGGACAAAGUGGAUUCACCGGGUUUAUUUACAAAUGGGAAGCAGAUCCUUUCCUUCCCAGUUCAGGGGUCUUUUAUCAUUGAGAAAUAAUGCUCAAACUCUUUUGGAACCUGAGGAGCGAGACAUUUGUUGGUCCUCUAGUCCCCUGCUGCACAAAGUAUGACCUACACCAGCCCCACAACAGCACCAGCCGCAGAUGGAAGCUCAUUAGAAAUGAGGAGUCCCACUCCAGCCUGGGUGACAAAGCAAGACUCUGUCUCAAAACAAAAAAAAGAAAUGAGGAAUCCUAGGCUCCACUCCACACCUGCUAGAUCAAAACAAGCGUCUGGCUGUCCAGCCUCAUUUGAUGUUAACUUCAGCCAUGUGUCCACUCUUAAGCCAAGUUCCACUCUCAGACCUAGGUCAACAUUCCAUGGGCAGUCCCCUCCCAGACUCUCUUCUCCUCAGUGUCAACUAGAGUGUUUUGCAGACAAAUUUUCCUCACAAAAAUGAUGACAAGACAGCAAUGGAAUAAUUGAAUUGCAACAAACCUGGAUCCCUGAAUAAAUAACAGUGUGGAGCAGAGCUACUCAUCAAUCUGGAAAACUCAACUCAGUCUGCUAAGCAGGAGAUAAAUAAAUGUGAAUUAUUGAAUUACACUAUACAGAAAGAAUGCCACUACCUGAGUUUAAGUCUCAUAUUUGCCACUGCCUGACUGGGUGAGCUCAGACAAGUUGUCAUUUCCUGAUUUCUAAAAUGAGAGUGUCUGGCCACAUCAGUGCUUUGACAACAGUUUCUCACAGAGCCCUAAUUCUCACAUUUUUUAAAUUAUUUCAGAGGGUAGUUUUGGCGGUAGAUGAAAGGACAUGAGUUAGUGAAGUAGGAAGACAUAAGAAUCCUUACAAUGUUGGUUUACAGAUCCCAAUUUUUUUCCCUCAUCAACCAGUGCAACUCUCUGUUUUACACACUGGGCAUUCGAGUAUAUGAAUAAAGAAUUCUGCAAUUAGAAAUAUUUAUCAAAACCACUAAGCUGUAAAAUGAAUAACGUACACUUACAUUCUGCCAUUCUGUAUUUUUAGUUGUUCAGUUUCUUAGUAACGAUGAAGACUUUUCUCUAAAACAUCUGUGUACUUUUACUUAAUUGCACUUGUGAACAGUGACACAUAUUUCAUAAGUGACCUGACAAAGUUAGUCACAGAGUCCAUAGUCAUAAAAUGUAAUUUUCUUUGUGCAAAUUAACUAGGCUAUCCAGGGAUCUAAGAUACAAUCUUGACUUCAUUAAUUUUUUACUUGAAUCAACUUACAGGGGAAAAAAAGAGGUAAGAAAUGUUUGGCCAUAUUAAAUGAGUUUUUCAUAUCUAUUUGGUGCCUUCAGUUUGUUGUGGAAGAAUUCUGGACAACAAAUAACAAAAAUAAUUGUUCUGUGAUGUAUUAAUGUCUUUUAAACUCAAUACUCCACCCUAUGGCCCUCAUAAUCGUGUCCAUUGCAUAUAUCAUUGGCAGCCUUUCCUUUGACUCACUGACAAUCAGAAUCUAAUCUCUCUAGAUUCUCCAGGGUUAUUUUGAAGAGUUAUCACUUCUUGGUGAUAACAUUUCAAUCCUCUAGACUACACAAUUUAAUACUCAUCAACUUAUGUCUAACACUCAAAUCAUUAUCACUCAUUACACCAUUAUAUAUAUUGAGUUACUCUUAUUUCUAACAAUUUAUCUAUACUCACCCUCUCUGUAGAUAUAUUCAGUUAUCUUUCUAUAUAUUUAUUUAUAAAAACUAAACAUUCUUUGAUAUUAAAUAUUGAUCAAAAAUUACAGCUCCUGCUACCAAAGCACUUGGAGCUAAUGCCAUGGGAUUUAUUUUUAAUAAUACAUUCUUUUCAAUCAAAUUAUUAUUAUUAAAAGACAUAAUAUACAUACAAA